rnacentral:rRNA from 1 species
UACGAAGGGGGCGAGCGUUGUUCGGAUUUACUGGGCGUAAAGGGCGCGUAGGCGGCCCACUUUGUCAGGCGUGAAAGCCCUGGGCUCAACCUGGGAAUAGCGCUUGGGACGGGUGGGCUUGAGAUCGGGAGAGGAGAGUGGAAUUCCCAGUGUAGAGGUGAAAUUCGUAGAUAUUGGGAAGAACACCGGUGGCGAAGGCGGCUCUCUGGACCGUAACUGACGCUGAGGCGCGAAAGCGUGGGGAGCAAACAGG